rnacentral:rRNA from 1 species
CCUACGGGGGGCAGCAGUGGGGAAUAUUGGGCAAUGGGCGAAAGCCUUACCCAGCAAUGCCGCGUGUAUGAAGAAGGUCUUCGGAUUGUAAAGUACUAUAUUGGGGAAGAACACAAUGACGGUACCCAAGAGAAAAAGCCCCGGCUAACUAUGUGCCAGCAGCCGCGGUAAUACAUAGGGGGCUAGCUUUGUCCGGAAUUACUGGGCGUAAAGGGUGCGUAGGUGGCAAUGUAUGUUGGAAGUGUAAUCCCUCGGGCUUAACUCAGGGGCUGCUUCCAAAACUGCAUUACUUGAGUGUCGGAGAGGAAAACGGAAUUCCUAGUGUAGCGGUGAAAUGCUCAGAUAUUAGGAGGAACACCAGAGGCGAAGGCGGUUUUCUGGACGACAACUGACGCUGAGGCACGAAAGCGUGGGGAGCGAUUGGGCUUAGAUACCCUAGUAGUC